GAUGCAGGAGUAGGGGCCUGAGUCAUCCUAGAUAUGCAUCAUGUUUGGAUCGUCGCUUGUGUGUGCCCGAAACAUAAUGGAUCCAGUAUUUUCAGCACCUAGUUACAUUGGGACCUUAAUUUGGAUUUGUAAUUUGCUGAUUUGUAUUUGAUGAUUGAGUCCAUAUAAUUGAGUGCCAAGCGGUAAUUAGAUGGCACGAAGAUCAAAGCAUGAUAUGGAUACUUUGACUUGGUCAAAGUCAAGUUGUUCUAGGAGUCCUUAAUUCAUUAGAAGUUGUCUAUUUAGUCUAUGUGGUGUUGCAAAAGAGUCCAAGCUGAUUUGGACUCUCUUCCAUGCGCUAUGAGGAGUCCUAGUUAUUUAGGAGUCUUAGUUGGUGUAGUUGAUUUCGUCAAAUGUUUGAUUUAAAUUAAAAGAGUCCAUGUUUAGUAGGAGUCUAUGUUUAGAAGGAGUCUCUAAAAUUUUGGUUGUAAGAGUCCUUAUUUUUUGAACCUUCUUCUCUAUAUAAAAGAGAGGUUGAAAAAUAAAAUUUAAAAUUAAUUUUGGUAUUCAAUUGCUCUUCUGAUCUGGAGAUGAGAGGUUUCUUCUUCCUCCUUUGGUGAGACUCUAAAGGUUCCUUUCUUCCUCGGUGAGAUGUCGAAAAAUUCUUGAGUUUAGGAUAGAGGUGAUACUCUUCUAUUUAGCCCAUAGUUAUUUUGUUACCAUCCAAACUGCAGCACCUUCUGUUAUUCCUUGUCCCACCCGCUAACCUUCAUCAUGCCAUAGCUUUAAUCCCUUAAAUGCCCA
rnacentral:lncRNA from 1 species